rnacentral:rRNA from 1 species
GAUUUCUGGUUCGGCGCAUUAGGCCCGCCUCGGUUCACGAGGUCGUGUGCCGUUUGCGCCAUCCAUCCUUCAAGAAAACCUUUCUGCCCUUCACUGGGUUGGAUUGGCUAUCUUGAUCUUUUACUUUGAAAAAAUUAGAGUGUUUAAAGCAGGCUUGCGCUAUGAAUACAUUAGCAUGGAAUAAUAAUUUAGGACUUUGGUCUUAUUUUGUUGGUUUCUAGGACUAAAGUAAUGAUUGAUAGGGAUAGUUGGGGGUGCUAGUAUUCCGCGGCCAGAGGUGAAAUUCUUGGAUUCGUGGAAGACUAACUACUGCGAAAGCAUU